rnacentral:lncRNA from 1 species
AUCAUGGCACGUGUGUAAAAGUAGGGUGUAGAAUUAGCCUUCACUUAAAAGAAAUAUAUGUAGGAGAGAUGGUGUAUUAGUUGUUCCUGAGUGUACGAGGGGCACCAAAGAGUCUCAUAUUAUUCUUUGUCAAGAACAGUGUUGGCCUUGCUUUUCUGCACUUGCAUUUUGGAUGAGGCACCUGCACAAGUUUUGCUCUAAAAUGGAAAUUCUGCUGUAGCACAGCAGAAGAAAUCAGGAGUGAAUUUCUGGCUGAGGCAGCAGUGUAAAGUAACUUACCUGAAGCAAAAUAAUAACAG